GUGGUCUCACCCAGCGCUCGGACGCGGCUGACAGGCGGAAACUCUCUACAGUAUGGCUGGCUACAUUGCUACGUUGGCGCUCCUCUUGGCUGUGUUGGCAUGCACCGCAGCUGCAGCAGUUGUCAGUACUGGCAUCUCCAGAGGGGAAUCCCUUGCAGAAGCAGACAGUUUCGGCUUUGGCUUUGCCGCCUGGCCAUGGGGCGUGUGGCCGUAUGGUUUCCCUGGAGCAUUCCCUUACCCUUACCUAGGAUGAUGAUCAGCACAAGUCCUGCUGGAACUGAAGAUGAUAUGUGAUCUGUAAUGGCAACACCUCUCUUUUCUGAUUAAAGAUAUAUGUCAACGACAUGCACUAUCUCUAAAUACUUAAUAACACGUAUUACUUCUCACAUCUGUUUCCAAUGCACUGAACAUGAUCCUGUUCUGGAGUACUGGUUUCUGACAGUACUGGUACCAGUCACUAUACAUGCACACAAAUCAGGUUGAAAUAUUCAAGAGGAUACCACAACAGGGAAGCAUUACUAUAAUAAGUCUACUACAAUUUUCCCUAUUUGGCUAUUUACAGAUUAGAAGUCAAUCAGCACCUUCCAACCUUUGUGCAGUCUGAUUAUUCCAUUUACUUUCACAGCCACUGUAAUAUCACCUAAACUAAAUGCGUUUCUUUUCAAAUACGCCAUACACAGCUAUUUAAUUGUCUUGCAUCAUAACUACCACUUUUAGUUUAUACCACCUUCAAGGUAUCGGUAUAAGCCCAAACAAAGCAUUAGACAAAGAAAACUGUACAAAUCCCAAUGAAUUAUAUCUGUUAUAAAUUAAUACUUACUAAAAAUUAAAUAUUAACCAAAUGUUA